GGCGUGCCUAAUACAUGCAAGUCGAGCGAACAGACAAGGAGCUUGCUCCUUUGACGUUAGCGGCGGACGGGUGAGUAACACGUGGGUAACCUACCUAUAAGACUGGGAUAACUUCGGGAAACCGGAGCUAAUACCGGAUAAUAUUUCGAACCGCAUGGUUCGAUAGUGAAAGAUGGUUUUGCUAUCACUUAUAGAUGGACCCGCGCCGUAUUAGCUAGUUGGUAAGGUAACGGCUUACCAAGGCGACGAUACGUAGCCGACCUGAGAGGGUGAUCGGCCACACUGGAACUGAGACACGGUCCAGACUCCUACGGGAGGCAGCAGUAGGGAAUCUUCCGCAAUGGGCGAAAGCCUGACGGAGCAACGCCGCGUGAGUGAUGAAGGUCUUCGGAUCGUAAAACUCUGUUAUUAGGGAAGAACAUACGUGUAAGUAACUAUGCACGUCUUGACGGUACCUAAUCAGAAAGCCACGGCUAACUACGUGCCAGCAGCCGCGGUAAUACGUAGGUGGCAAGCGUUAUCCGGAAUUAUUGGGCGUAAAGCGCGCGUAGGCGGUUUUUUAAGUCUGAUGUGAAAGCCCACGGCUCAACCGUGGAGGGUCAUUGGAAACUGGAAAACUUGAA
rnacentral:rRNA from 1 species